CAGUCGCCACGGUAAUACGAAGGGUGCAAGCAUUAAUCGGAAUUACUGGGCGUAAAGCGUGCGUAGGCGGUGAGUUAAGUCUGCUGUGAAAUCCCCGGGCUCAACCUGGGAAUGGCAGUGGAUACUGGCUCGCUAGAGUGUGUCAGAGGAUGGUGGAAUUCCCGGUGUAGCGGUGAAAUGCGUAGAGAUCGGGAGGAACAUCAGUGGCGAAGGCGGCCAUCUGGGACAACACUGACGCUGAGGCACGAAAGCGUGGGGAGCAAACAGGAUUAGAUACCCCCGUAGUCCCUGUCUCUUAUAC
rnacentral:rRNA from 1 species